UGGUUCCUUUAACACUUGCUGCACAGGUGAUGGUUCCUUUACCACUUGCUGCACAGGUGAUGGUUCCUUUACCACUUGCUGCACAGGUGAUGGUUCCUUUACCACUUGCUGCACAGGUGAUGGUUCCUUUACCACUUGCUGCACAGGUGAUGGUUCCUUUACCACUUGCUGCACAGGUGCUGGUUCCUUUACCACUUGCUGCACAGGUGCUGGUUCCUUUACCACUUGCUGCACAGGUGAUGGUUCCUUUACCACUUGCUGCACAGGUGAUGGUUCCUUUACUUGCUGCACAG